UGAGGAAUUUUCGUCAAUGGGGGAAACCCUGAACGAGCAACGCCGCGUGCAGGAUGACGGCCUUCGGGUUGUAAACUGCUUUUCUCUGGGACGAGAACGGACGGUACCAGAGGAAUCAGCUCCGGCUAACUACGUGCCAGCAGCCGCGGUAAUACGUAGGGAGCAAGCGUUGUCCGGAUUUAUUGGGCGUAAAGCGCACGCAGGCGGUUUAGUCAGUCUCUACUGACAGUGUCCGGCUCAACCGGGCAAGUGGUAGGGAAACUGCUAAACUUGAGGGCUUCAGAGGGAUGGGGAACUCCAGGUGGAGUGGUGAAAUGCGUAGAUAUCUGGAAGAACACCAAUGGCGAAGGCACCAUCCUGGGAAGCAUCUGACGCUCAGGUGCGAAAGCUAGGGGAGCGAACGG
rnacentral:rRNA from 1 species